GAAUCCGUUCAUUUUUUUUUCUGCGAAAACCCUAAGUUACAACAGAUAUUGUUACCCUGUUUUUGGUGUUGGGUAAAGUCCUUGCAGUAUAUGUUCCUUACCAGUGAAAUCUAACCAGAUCUGUUGUCUCACGCCAUUGAUUUAGGGCUUCUUUUGUCUGGGUUAGGUUAUAGAAAAUAAAUGCUUAAAGUAAAGCAAUAUUUAAGUAUUGAAUAUAGCUGUCAUGUGUUUCUUUGAUUUUUUUCCUCAAUCGUGGUGUUUUAGAUCUGGUUUGCUUUCUCCUAGAUUUUUGGUCUCCCUAUUAUAUUUUGUCUAUUGACAGUGAAGUGCUGACCAUUUGUUUUGUAUUAUGUGUCUUUGUGGGGCAUACUGCUUUCACUGUUUUGUGGAAGGAAACAUAUAUAUUGAUUUAUAGUAUGGUUUCAUACUUGUAAAUUUGGUGCUACUGUAGGUAGCAUCUACCCUUUGGCCGUUUCUUUUGCACCAUAUAUUGUGUUGCAUAAUUUGUUGGUAGCUGGCUGCUGUUCUACUCACUGUAUUGUUUGGAACUUGCAAAUUUGUUUAGAAUGUUGUGAAAUAGUGAGAUUUUUGUUGGGAUGUGGACUGGGUCAGUGAACCCUGAUACCGAUCAUUUGCUUGCUUUAUCACUUAUAUUGGUUGUUGUUCACAAGUGUGUUUGGUGUGAGCUGGGUGGUGUACCAUAUUACCGUCACUGUCUAGGAGUAGCUAGGUUACCGGUGGGAGGAUGCCACUUAGUGCCUAUGCGUUGCCCUGGUAGGCUAGGUGGACCACGUUGUAUCACUUGUGAAAAAUAAAAACUUCAGUAUUACAUGUAAUAUAUUUUUCAUGGUGUAUAAUUACAAAAGUGAAAGCAAGAAAUUACUUUUAACAACAUGAGGUGCAUAUAUAGAUGGGUACUAAUUUGAGAUAGAUGGGCCUAAUAAGAAAAUUCUAUUUACUGGCCUCAAGAAGUCUCUUUUACUGGCUUCAACACUAAAUACAAUUGGUUCAAUUGAGCACAUGUGCAAAUAAUAUCUUCAUGUUGUGCGGUUAGUUGACAUUGGAAAGGAAUCUAUGUUAUUCUUGUGAGUGGCUACCUGCAGACAAAAAAAAAAGUUGCAGUAGUACAAGUGAUGUUCUAUGCCCUCGAAUAACAUAUGUAAAUGCUAACUAAAGCUGAGUGUGGUCCAUAUAACGACCACAUGAUUAAUGUGAAAACAGAUAAUGAAAUGUUGCUGUCUUCCAAGAAUCUAAUUUUCUUUUCGUACAGCAAUAUAAUGUUGCUGGCCAGAGUCCACUAUAGCGACAGUAGUACAUCUGCUGACACGUAUAGGCCUGAUUUUCUACUAUACUAUACUGUCUUCGAGUGAGACAUACGUGUGUACAUGCAUGAGGCAUAGCAUCCUCAUCGUUGAUCUUAUGCCCUUAUCCUAGAAGGUUUUACCUUGAGCCAUAUCAAAGACAGUUUAAGGAAAUAAUUAUGAAAAUGGUUUUUCAUUAACAACUGUCUUUGAAGACUGUCAAGAACAGCCUCAUUAUCAUGGGCUGGAGUAGGGGGAUGAGCAAUUGUUUAUGGAUAGGAGGUGAGUAUCACUGCAUGUUACAUCUGUGGUGCAUGUUUGUUUAGCGAUCAUAUUCCUUGUAUCCAUUAUAUUCCAUAUUGAGCUGCACUCAGCAACCUAGAUGAAAAUGGGUGUGGUUUUGGUAAUUCUUCGAAUUUGGCCAUUUACAUCCUAGUUUAGAAGUUCGGGAAUUUUUACUUCUCACAGGGUAACCAUAUUUUAUUUAUUUCUUGUUAGCAGAGAAUGCAGAACUAGCUAGGUUCCAUGUGUCCAAAAUAGAUGCAAUAUAUUCCCAACAUACAAUGAUAUAUACAAGUUAGCCCCGUUAUGCAUGCUCAAAUAUACCGUGAAGAUUUAUUUGUUUUUACUUUUUAGAGAUCAAGUGUCCGUUUAAACGACCAACUGAUUGCACUUGAUUGAUCAUAUAUAUACUUUUAAGGAGUUCUCAGAAUACUCGGCACCUUACUUGCCGGGCUAUUCAUCACAUGUUUGACAUGAUUUAUCAAAUAUUUUUUACAUAUGCAUUAUUUGCGUAACUAUGUUGAUAUUGUCCAGCCAUCAACUUUGUGGUACAAUUCAGUCUUUGUCUAUGUAUAAGUCGUCUAACAUAGCUAUAUAUAAAAACUCGACCGGAUAUGCUCCCGUGGGGAGUCGAACCUAGGACCUAGAGGUGCUACUCGAGCACUGUAACUGAAGUCCCUUUAGCAAUAGAUCUAUAUAACCCUCAGGGAAAAAAUAUCAACCGUUAUCUCACAAUAGCAAAAACAACAGGCCCAACGAAGCAAAGUUUUUUAGUUAGGACAUGGGGUAUAGACGUAAUGCUGUUGUAUCGAUCAAAUUGGUUAAGUGAAGGUCUGGUUCACAAUGAUGUUACAGGUGCAUGACUCUAUUCAGCACUAGGAUCCAGAUAUAUGUGUGACUUUUGAUUAUUGUGCGGCAUCUACAUUGUCGUCAACAUUACCUAGCCUCAUGAAGACACUUGCAUUGGCUAAUGGGCAUCUAUAAAUAUGUGUGCUUAUGCAUGGCUCCAUAUAUUGCAUUGCUAAUGCUACAUACAUGCAUAUAGCUAGCUAGAACGAGUAAGUUGUGUGCAGGCAAGCUAGUUAAGACUUAGUGCUAUAGCUUGAGAAUUAAGUAAGAUGGCCGGUGAUUCUCCAGCGGCACCGGUUGGCCAGACAUGGACCACCGGCCUCUGUGACUGCUGCGACGAUUGCAACAGCUGUUGCCUGGCGUUAUUCUGUCCAUGUGUUGCCUUCGGCCAUAUCGCCGAGACCCUCGACAGAGGCAGCAUCUGUAACUGCCCUUAAUCGCGUGAUACUCUUAUAUUGAAUCAAUAUAUAUCUAAUGAACGUCUGUGGUGAGGUCAUGGGUGCAUACUUUAUACAUCUGAUGUAAAUGUGUUUGCAUGUGUGCAGCUUGCGGCAUAGCAAGCAUCAUCUACUGCUGGAUGCGACCCACCACAGUGUGCCCAGGCCUGUACACCAUGUACUCUUGGUCCUACCGCCAGAAACUCCGCGCCACGUUCGGCAUGGCACCUGAUCCCUGCACCGAUUGUUGUCUGCAGUUCUUCUGUGAGAGAUGUUCCCUUAGCCAAAUGUACCGCGAGCUCAAGAACCGUGGCAUCAACCCUGCUAAUGGAUGGGUAGUCAACUCCCAGAAGAUGACUUCGGCGCCGAUACCUAUGCAAGACAUGAGUCGCUGACGGUCAAAAACAUCUAGAGAUAGCUCUAGUUGUUGAACUUAGCAUGAAGGAUAAAAGAAUUUAUCCAAAUAAUGUUGGUAGCUGCUUUUCAAGGUUGCACAAGAGGAAAUUAAUCUCUACUACUUAAAAGUGUCAGGGUUGGUACCGACCCCUCCCACUCCUUCCGUGCACAUCCCAACCUUCCGAGGAAAACAAAAGGAGUAAAUAAAAAUCCACAUAGUUCAUCCAUCCACGCUUCGCCAAUUUUGAGUCAUAUAGUCUUCUUGUUAUAAUGGAUGGGUGUAUUAUUAGUUAAGAAAUGGUGGAAAGUUUUAAUUCGCUCCAUGUUAUCCCACUUAUGGGUAUGUCAAAUUGUAAACUGAAAGAAUGAUUGUCCCAUCUAUAAAAAGAACUAUCAUGCAUGUCCUAACUUGUCCAUGCCCCCUGAGAAUUGAGCUAAUUUGUUUCGGGUGAUACGGGAGCAUCACCAGCAGCACCAAGAUGCCUAUUGCUUUUUUUAGAAAAUACUCCUUAAUUUAGACAAGGUUUUUA